GUGCACCAGGCGAGAAUCCUCCGCAAUACACGAAAGUGUGACGGGGUUACCCAAAGUGUCCAAAUUUGGACUGUGGUAGGUGAGUAAUGUCCCCUACUAGAAAGGAGAGGGCAAGGCUGGUGCCAGCCGCCGCGGUAAAACCAGCUCUUCAAGUGGUCGGGAUAAUUAUUGGGCUUAAAGUGUCCGUAGCCGGUUUAGUAAGUUCCUGGUAAAAUCGGGUAGCUUAACUAUCUGUAUGCUAGGAAUACUGCUAUACUAGAGGGCGGGAGAGGUCUGAGGUACUACAGGGGUAGGAGUGAAAUCCUGUAAUCCUUGUAGGACCACCAGUGGCGAAGGCGUCAGACUGGAACGCGCCUGACGGUGAGGGACGAAAGCCAGGGGAGCGAACCGGAUUAGAUACCCCCGUAGU
rnacentral:rRNA from 1 species